GCUCUCGUGAUGUAACGGUAGCACACACGACACGUAUUCGAGAGGUCCAGGCUCGAGUCCCGGCGAGGGCA
rnacentral:tRNA from 1 species